UGGGGAAUAUUGGACAAUGGGCGCAAGCCUGAUCCAGCCAUGCCGCGUGUGUGAAGAAGGCCUUUUGGUUGUAAAGCACUUUAAGCGAGGAGGAGGCUACUUGGAUUAAUACUCUAGGAUAGUGGACGUUACUCGCAGAAUAAGCACCGGCUAACUCUGUGCCAGCAGCCGCGGGAAUACAGAGGGUGCGAGCGUUAAUCGGAUUUACUGGGCGUAAAGCGUGCGUAGGCGGCUUUUUAAGUCGGAUGUGAAAUCCCUGAGCUUAACUUAGGAAUUGCAUUCGAUACUGGGAAGCUAGAGUAUGGGAGAGGAUGGUAGAAUUCCAGGUGUAGCGGUGAAAUGCGUAGAGAUCUGGAGGAAUACCGAUGGCGAAGGCAGCCAUCUGGCCUAAUACUGACGCUGAGGUACGAAAGCAUGGGGAGCAAACAGG
rnacentral:rRNA from 1 species